AUUGAACGCUUGCGGCAGGCCUACCACAUGCAAGUCGAGAGAGGGGCGGAAGUGUGAGUAAUGUCUGGGAAUCUGCCUGGGGGAGGAGGUUAGCGACUGGGAACGGUAACUACUACCGUAUUCAAUCGGAUGUGCCGAGAUGGGAUUAGCUAGGAGGUGGGGUAACGGCACACCUAGGCGACGCACCCUAGCUGGUAUGAGAGGAUGAACAGCGACACUGGAACUUAGACAAGGUCCAGACUCGUACGGUAGGCAGCAGUGGGGAAUAUUGCACAAUGGGAGCAAGCCUGAUGCAGCCAUGCCGCGUUGAUGAAGAAGGCCUUCGGGUUGUAAAGUACUUUCAGCGGGGAGGCGUUACCCGCAGAAGAAGCACCGGCUAACUACGUGCCAGCAGCCGCGGUAAUAC
rnacentral:rRNA from 1 species